AGGAGGAGGAGAGAGAAGAACUGAAGAGGCACUUCCGGCUCCUGCUGGGGAGUCUCCUUAUGGAAGCCCCCAACCCUGGCACCCUCCUCCACCUUCUCAGUGACCUUCGAGGAUAUGCCCUGGGGAAAGUGGGGAGGCUCAAGAACCAGCGGCCAGCAGCAUCUCCUUGCUGCUGACCGUUGCCCGGAAAUACCCCAACCUCAGAGUAAGUACCUUGCCUUCUUCUAUUCAUCUCUUUGGUUAAUUUCACCCCCCCCCAGAUCACAUCCCCAAGUGAUCUUUAGCGCAGAUGAUGUGGGGUGUGUCCCUGGGGGCCAGGAUGAGACCAGAGGCUUUUCCUGCCCCCUUUCCUGCUGCUGCCCUUCCACCUCUGCCCAGGAGGCUGCAGGGCCCAGGGAGGUCCUCUGGAACGAGGGAUUGGGCCCAAGACAGAGGGAGACCCGUCCUUCCAGACUUGGCGCUGCUUCUGUGCUCUCUUGCUCCCAUCUGACCCCGAUUUUUCUUUCCUCUGCAGAUGUAGUUCGGCCGGACCUG